rnacentral:rRNA from 1 species
CGUAGGUGGCAAGCGUUAUCCGGAUUUACUGGGCGUAAAGCGUGUGCAGGCGGUUUAGUAAGUGGUGUAUGAAAUCUCUGCGCUUAACGUAGAGGGGUUAUGCCAGACUGCUGAACUUGAACCCAUCAGAGGGACGUGGAAUUCCGGGUGUAGUGGUGAAAUGCGUAGAGAUCCGGAGGAACACCAGAGGCGAAAGCGGCGUCCUGGGGUGAGGUUGACGCUCAGACACGAAAGCAUGGGGAGCGAACGGGAUUAGAAACCCCGGUAGUCCAUGCCGUAAACGAUGGAUACUAGCUGUUCGGAGCAAUCUGAGUGGCUAAGCGAAAGUGAUAAGUAUCCCACUGGGGAUACGUUCGCAAGAAUG